rnacentral:rRNA from 1 species
GGGUAACGGCCCACCAAGACGACGAUGCGUAGGGGUUCUGAGAGGAAGGUCCCCCACACUGGUACUGAGACACGGACCAGACUCCUACGGAAGGCAGCAG